AGGCGCUUUUAAACUGGAGUGGAAGGAGUUUCCAUGGAAACCGGCCGGCAACUCAGCUGACAAGUAGCAAAAAAUCUCCGUCUCUCACUGUUGUUUUUACUGCUUUCAGAAAUGGUUCAUUGUCAUCGGAAAAAGUCCGUUAGCACAACCCUGAGCUAACCAGAGGCUAACUAUAAGAGAUUGUUUAUGUUCCUGUAGUCUUCCAUGCUGAUGGCCGUGCAGCAGAGUUGGAG